rnacentral:rRNA from 1 species
AUGGCGCCUAGGGGCGGCUACACAGUAGAAGGAGGAAGCUCAAUAACGUCCAUGGAUCUAGGCCACGGGAGUGUUGAAUCAGGCGAAUCUCUUCAGCCGGAACACCGUAUUGUGGAUGAACCUUCAAAAGAUAUUCUGGAUCCGGAGUUCUACGGCAUAGACACGUCCUCUGCACACAGAUGCAUUCACGGAAUGCAUCCAGCAAAAAAAGUUGCGUUCGUCUACGCAGCCACAGGGAGGAGGUUCCUAGGAUGCCCUCUCUCGGGAGAUGAUAUGUGCCACUGGUUCUUGUGGAUUGAUGAACCAUGGGGUCCAGUACUUAGCCGUUCAAUAAAAAACCUAUGGGAUCAAACUUCUCGGGUCGCUGACAGAGCAGCAAUGUUGGAGACAAAGAAGAAGGAAAUGGAGCACGCUUACUUAGAUCUUUGGACUGAAAGAAGCAAUAUGGAGAUAGAACACGAGCAGGUUGUCAACGGUUUGAAGAACAGAUUAGUUGACAAUGAGAUUAAGAUGUCCAGGAGGUUGGAUUUUCACAUUAAGUUGUGUGUGGCAUCUAUUUCUUCAGCUGUUACUCUAGCUUCAGUGCUGGCUUAUGUUCUAUCUACAUUGACAUAG